GACGAACGCUGGCGGCGUGCCUAAUACAUGCAAGUAGAACGCUGAAGGAGGAGCUUGCUUCUCUGGAUGAGUUGCGAACGGGUGAGUAACGCGUAGGUAACCUGCCUGGUAGCGGGGGAUAACUAUUGGAAACGAUAGCUAAUACCGCAUAAUAGUAGAUGUUGCAUGACAUUUGCUUAAAAGGUGCAAUUGCAUCACUACCAGAUGGACCUGCGUUGUAUUAGCUAGUUGGUGGGGUAACGGCUCACCAAGGCGACGAUACAUAGCCGACCUGAGAGGGUGAUCGGCCACACUGGGACUGAGACACGGCCCAGACUCCUACGGGAGGCAGCAGUAGGGAAUCUUCGGCAAUGGACGGAAGUCUGACCGAGCAACGCCGCGUGAGUGAAGAAGGUUUUCGGAUCGUAAAGCUCUGUUGUAAGAGAAGAACGAGUGUGAGAGUGGAAAGUUCACACUGUGACGGUAUCUUACCAGAAAGGGACGGCUAACUACGUGC
rnacentral:rRNA from 2 species